rnacentral:rRNA from 1 species
CUACGGGUUGCUGCAGUCGAGAAUCUUCCGCAAUGGACGAAAGUCUGACGGAGCGACGCCGCGUGCGGGAUGAAGGCCUUCGGGUUGUAAACCGCUGUCAGUGGGGAGGAAAUGCAUCAGGGUUCUCCCUGGUGUUUGACCGAUCCGCAGAGGAAGCGCAGGCUAAGUUCGUGCCAGCAGCCGCGGUAACACGAACUGCGCGAACGUUAUUCGGAAUCACUGGGCUUAAAGAGUUCGUAGGCGGCCUUUCAAGUCGGGUGUGAAAUCCCUCGGCUCAACCGAGGAAUUGCGCCUGAUACUGGUGGGCUUGAGGGGGAUAGGGGUGAGCGGAACUGAUGGUGGAGCGGUGAAAUGCGUUGAUAUCAUCAGGAACACCGGUGGCGAAGGCGGCUCACUGGAUCUCUUCUGACGCUGAGGAACGAAAGCUAGGGGAGCGAACGGGAUUAGAUACCCCGGUAGUC